AUUCGGUUUUAAUUGAGAAGUGUCUGUGGUUAACCGCAACGUUCUAAUUGGGAUCAAUAGGUUAACCAGCAGCACACUUCUCUUCUGGGUGGCCAUCCGUUCGGUAGUUCCGUUCGACAAAAACCGACAUUCCCUUGAAUAAAGCAUACGAAUGGGGAAAUUCAUGUAACCGGCAAAACAGGCGAACACAGCAUUUAUAAUCCAGACAGAUGGGUCUGUCACAGGAACAUCAAACAAUUCCCUUUGGGAUUAUCCCUCUGGAGGUAGCUUAGAAGAAGGGAGUUACCUAUCAAGGAAAAUGGGGAAAUUAACAUCAAAUAUCUUUGGAAUAACUUCAGGUCUAGACUCCUUGGCACGCCAUAUGUACUGGAGUACAGAAUGAGCUGGGUAAACACAGCAGUUACUGCUUAUUCCUGGACAAAAUUGGGUGCUUUAACUCCUUGAUGGUCAAUGUUAUAAUCAAAAAAUGAAAUCCUUAAAGAUGUUGCCAAUUUAGAAUAUUCUGUAUUGAUAGUCUAGGAAACCCUUAAGAAUGUCAAUGGUCCACUGCUGGAUCAGUCAUUUAAUUCCAAUCUGUCAUAUGAUCAAUUAAAACUGUGUUAACAACAACUGUUGUUAUUGGUACCCAAAUGGUUAAGGUGACAGUACGACUUUAUUUUCAAAAAUAAAUUACUUGUGUGGCGAGAGCAACCUCGCCACAUUGCAUUGGAGAAGCCUGGUUGCUCGCCUGUUACCUUUGGAUUAUGGCCCUAUGUUACAAGACCCCUUUUUCUCUGCAGAAAAGACUUAAUUGUGCUUUUCUGCCCGGUGUUUGGUAGAUUCAGUCUACCGAACAACUGCACGAAUGACUGGACCACCUGGGAGCUGGAGUGUGCCGGCAAUUAGCCUCCCAGAAGCUGCGGUUAACCGCAGCUUAAUUGACGAAUACUGGGUGGCCGCAAUUUGUAUCACAAACACAAGGUUGUGGCCAUUUUAAACACGCGAACGCACAGCGGUGUUCGACACCUAACUCAUGGAACUAAAAACGGACACAGUUUGGCGCGAACACCGCUGAAGCUGCCGACCUCCCUUCUUGUUCUGCGGGAGUGCACGAACGGCCCGGUGUUCGGUAAUUUUACCUGACUGUAUUAUACCCCAGAUAGGAAUCCCAUGGAGCUCAUUCGUAUGAGAACUAACUUUGUAAAGACUUUGGCUCCAUGGCGAUUGAACUGUAUUCGUGUGGUCUGAGUGCCAUUCGCUUAAUAAUGUGCGCUCAGACCUGAGCUA